ACGACACAACUGGUCUUUGGAGCAUUACCGGAGCGCAGACAGGAAUGCCUUGCUGUCAGUGAUACAGCACCUGGAAGUACAGGAACACUCCAAGGGGAUUCUGAGAAGCGGCCAGUGAGAUUUGAAGAAGCAGGAGCAUGAGCUUUGCCAGCAAGUGCGCUUCCUCAAUAACAGAGUCCAGCAGGAGCAGACGGUCACAGACAAUCUGCUGAACUCUCUGAGGGUGGAGCAGUGGAGAGUGAGGCAGUACCGUGCAAGCCUCAGGAGGGAGCGAGCCACAGUCAGGGCUCUGAAACAGGGGCUGUCAAGGGCGACACUGGAGCAGGCACCGCGUACAGAGAGCACCGACCUGAGAAGCAGCCGAACGGUGUGGAAGAGGAGCUGGUCCAGAGUGGCGACCUCGGUAGAGUGGAGAGCAAACCGUCGUGUGAGCGCUGCAAGGGAAGGGAGGUGGACAAGCUCUGGGCAGCACAGCGGCUCCCGGAGUUCAAGAGAGCACGCAGCUCUGAGCUGAGCAACACUGUCAGCCACCAGUGCCAACUCUUCAAAGACUUCAUCCGGGAAGUGAAGGAGGAGAUCGUAUCUCAUCACCAAACGAUUGUGGCGACCCACCAGGCUUUCAUCUUGGAGCUGCAGGCUGACCUGAAGAAGGAAGCAGCAUGGUAGAGCUGGUGGCCAGGGUCGAUGGGCUGAGCAGAAGGCUCUGCUGUUCAGGCAGCAGCUCAAGACGGAGAUCCAGCUGAGCAGGGAGGAGGCUCGGAGAGAGAGGGAGGCCAGAGCUCAGGUCUGUGCUGCUCUGGAGACCCUGCAGGGUCAGGCACAGGAGCUGACACGAGCACUGGAGAGAGAGAGGCGGCAAGGAGCCAGGCUGCGGGAGGAGGUAGAGCAGCUCCAAGAUAAACCACCAAACACAAAGGAGAAGGUCAGGGAAGACUGGGAGAAACAAGGGAGGCCAGAUCUGCAUGAACUGGAGG